GUCCACGCCCUAAACGAUGGGCACUAAGUGUAGGAGGUAUCGACCCCUCCUGUGCCGCACCUAACGGAUUAAGUGCCCCGCCUGGGGAGUACGGCCGCAAGGUUGAAACUCAAAGGAAUUGACGGGGCCCGCACAAGCGGUGGAGCAUGUGGUUUAAUUCGACGCAACGCGAAGAACCUUACCCAGGCUUGACAUACUGGUGGUAGUGAACUGAAAGGGGACGACCCCGCAAGGGGAGCCAGUACAGGUGCUGCAUGGCUGUCGU
rnacentral:rRNA from 1 species